rnacentral:tRNA from 1 species
CCAAGGUUGGCCGAUCGGUUUAGGCAGCGGACUCAUAAUCCGCGAGGCAACUCUAGACAGGUUCGAUUCCUGUACCUUGGA